rnacentral:misc_RNA from 1 species
GUAGGUGAACCUGCGGAAGGAUCAUUACCACAAUUACAGGGGGCCGGAUCCAAAGUCUAGGGCUUUUGCUCUGUUCUUUGCCCCGCCCUGUCUGAAUAUACCCAUGUCUUUUGCGUACGAUUUGUUUCCUUGGUGGGCUUGCCCACCAAUAGGACAUUAUUACAACCUUUUGAAAUUGCAAUCAGCGUCUGAAAAACAAAUAAUAAUUACAACUUUUAACAACGGAUCUCUUGGUUCUG